rnacentral:rRNA from 1 species
UACGUAGGAGGCGAGCGUUGUCCGGAAUUACUGGGCGUAAAGCGCACGUAGGCGGUCUUUUAAGUCGGUGGUGAAAUCCUGGAGCUCAACUCCAGAACUGCCUUCGAUACUGGAAGACUUGAGUCCGGGAGAGGUGAGUGGAACUGCGAGUGUAGAGGUGAAAUUCGUAGAUAUUCGCAAGAACACCAGUGGCGAAGGCGGCUCACUGGCCCGGUACUGACGCUGAGGUGCGAAAGCGUGGGGAGCAAACAGG